CAAGGAAUUUUCCGCAAUGGGCGAAAGCCUGACGGAGCAACGCCGCGUGUGGGAUGACGCUUUUCGGAGUGUAAACCACUGUUCAUGAGGAAGAAGCACUGACGGUACUCAUGGAGGAAGGUCCGGCUAACUACGUGCCAGCAGCCGCGGUAAUACGUAGGGAUCGAGCGUUGUCCGGAGUUACUGGGCGUAAAGGGCAUGCAGGCGGCUCAUUACGCACGGCGUGAAAGCCCCCGGCUUAACCGGGGAGGGUCGUCGUGUACGGGUGAGCUUGAGGGUAUCAGGGGCUGGUGGAAUUCCCGGUGUAGUGGUGAAAUGCGUAGAUAUCGGGAGGAACACCUGUGGCGAAGGCGGCCAGCUGGGAUACACCUGACGCUGAGAUGCGAAGGCGUGGGGAGCGAACG
rnacentral:rRNA from 1 species